rnacentral:rRNA from 1 species
GUGAGGAAUUUUCCGCAAUGGGCGAAAGCCUGACGGAGCAAUGCCGCGUGAAGGAUGAAGGCCUAUGGGUUGUAAACUUCUUUUCUCAGAAAAGAAUUAUGACGGUAUCUGAGGAAUAAGCAUCGGCUAACUCUGUGCCAGCAGCCGCGGUAAGACAGAGGAUGCAAGCGUUAUCCGGAAUGAUUGGGCGUAAAGCGUCUGUAGGUUGUUUAAAAAGUAUUCUGUCAAAGAUUAGGGCUUAACCCUAGAUAGGAAGAAUAAACUUUUAAGCUAGAGUUUGGUAGAGGCAGAGGGAAUUCCCGGUGGAGCGGUGAAAUGCGUAGAUAUCGGGAGGAACACCAAAGGCGAAGGCACUCUGCUGGGCCAAUACUAACACUGAGAGACGAAAGCGAGGGGAGCAAAUGGGAUUAGAAACCCUAGUAGUCC